ensembl:ncRNA mir-973 mir-973 stem loop
ACCGUCGUCGACUUUUCGUGGUUGGUGGUUGAACUUCGAUUUUAAGUAUUUAAAUAAAAUGAAAUCUGUUCAUUCUCCGACACAAGAAGUUCACGCAAAGG